rnacentral:rRNA from 1 species
AUUGAACGCUGGCGGCAUGCUUUACACAUGCAAGUCGAACGGCAGCACGGGUGCUUGCACCUGGUGGCGAGUGGCGAACGGGUGAGUAAUACAUCGGAACGUGCCCAGUAAUGGGGGAUAACUAUCCGAAAGGAUAGCUAAUACCGCAUACGCCCUGAGGGGGAAAGUGGGGGACCAGCAAUGGCCUCACGUUAUUGGAGCGGCCGAUGGCUGAUUAGCUAGUUGGUGAGGUAAAGGCUCACCAAGGCGACGAUCAGUAGCGGGUCUUAGAGGACGAUCCGCCACACUGGAACUGAGACACGGUCCAGACUCCUACGGGAGGCAG